rnacentral:rRNA from 1 species
CGUUGAUUUCACACUGCCGAGAAAAGCCUCUAGAUAGAAAAUAGGUGCCCGUACCGCAAACCGACACAGGUAGUCAAGAUGAGAAUUCUAAGGUGAGCGAGCGAACUCUCGUUAAGGAACUCGGCAAAAUGACCCCGUAACUUCGGGAGAAGGGGUGCUCUUUAGGGUUAACGCCCAGAAGAGCCGCAGUGAAUAGGCCCAAGCGACUGUUUAUCAAAAACACAGGUCUCUGCUAAACCGUAAGGUGAUGUAUAGGGGCUGACGCCUGCCCGGUGCUGGAAGGUUAAGAGGAGUGGUUAGCUUCUGCGAAGCUACGAAUCGAAGCCCCAGUAAACGGCGGCCGUAACUAUAACGGUCCUAAGGUAGCGAAAUUCCUUGUCGGGUAAGUUCCGACCCGCACGAAAGGCGUAACGAUUUGGGCACUGUCUCAACGAGAGACUCGGUGAAAUCAUAGUACCUGUGAAGAUGCAGGUUACCCGCGACAGGACGGAAAGACCCCGUGGAGCUUUACUGUAGCCUGAUAUUGAAAUUCGGCACAGCUUGUACAGGAUAGGUAGGAGCCUUUGAAACGUGAGCGCUAGCUUACGUGGAGGCGCUGGUGGG